GGUUGUUGGGCACCUCUUUCCUUCUUUCUUACAACCAAAGGUUGGUUGUUAAGGUCUCUUCCUUUCUCUCUCUCUUUGUCCAAGAGUUGAACAUGGUUUUUUCUCCCCUUCUCCAUAGAUGUUCAUGAGUUGGAUAUGUCUUCUCCUUCAUAGAUGUUCAAGAGUUGGACAUGAUUUCACCUCCAUAAUCAGUCCAAGAGUUUGGACGAAAAAAAAAGAAAAGAGAUGGGAUCUCUUAUUCUUCUUUUCUUUAGAUCUUCUUCUUUCUCUUGAGAAGAGAAAGAGAAAGAAAUCAGAUUAGAUCUGAUUUUUUGAUCCUUCUACGGAUCUUUUUGAUUUUUUUGAGAAAAGAAUCAAAAGAGAUCAAAGAUUCGACAAUUUAAGGAGCGAUCUCUGCAAGGGAGCUAGCAUCCCGAUGUGAUCGGGAUCUCCUAAUCAGAUCAGCUUUGUGUGGAUAUCUGUAGAGGUCGGACACUUGUGCGGCUCUAAAAAGAUCUUGAAGAUAUCCAUAGAUCAUCAGAUCGUGGCUUCAACGUACCAUUAAAAUAUCCAUGGAUCAUCAGAUCGCGAUGAAGGUCUACUCCUGCAAAGAUAAAAAUCAGAUUUUUAAUUUUGCUUGAAUCUUAAUCUUGUAUAUGUGAUGAUGCCUGGGUUAUGUUGAGAUAUGAUCUCUAUAUGCAUGUUUGAUUAGAUUAGAUCUAAUUAGAGAUUUGUUUUAAUAUUGUUCUGACAUAAGGUUGUUCUGGCAUAACAAGGAUCGUUAUGUUGUAUGGUUGUUCUAGAACGAUGUUGAAAAAUUUUUAAAAUUUUCUUCUGCUGUGUGUUUAAAAAUUUUAAAAUCUCUGCAUGCAUACCGGAUCAUCAUGUGUUGGCAUUUUCUAACAGUGGCAUCAGAGCCAUUUCAUAUUGCAAAAUUAAAAUUAGAUUUCAGAUAUGAAAUUAUGACUGAUUAUGGAUAGGAGAUGGAGUUCUAUAUGUGAAAUCUGUUUUUAGAUUUGAAAUUCUGAAUGAUUGAAAUUCAUGUGAUGGAUUUCAUGAUUUGAAAAUCUAUUUUUAGAUCUGAAAAUUUAGAUUAUUUUAUGUUUAUGCAUUGAUUUCAAGAUCUAAAAAUUAUUUUAGGAUCUGAAAAUCUGAUUUCUAAUGUUCAUGCAUUUAUAAAUUCGAUAUCUAAUUUUCAUGUGAUGAAUCUUGUUAGAUCUGAAUUUAUCUUUAUUAUAUAUUCAUGCAUGAAAUGAUGUUCAUAAAUAGAGAUUCAUCUUGAUGUGAUCUUUGAUAAUAUGGAUGUUUUUUUUUCAAAUUAGAGUAAUUUGAUUGAACAUAAGUUUUAUAAAUCAAUCUAAGAUCGUCCUGAUAUAAGGUUGCAAUGGCAUAACGAGGGUCGUUAUGUGUUAUGAUUGUCGUAUGAUGAAAAGAAAUUAAUACAUAAAAUAUUAUAAUAAAUUAGCAUGAAUAUAAGGACUAUGUGAUAGUCACGCGUGUGUUUUUCAUAGAUACAUGUGAUCUUCAUGAAUCACUACAAACCUUAAGAGUAGGGUUAUAUUAUGAAUACACUUUAGAUGGUUGCAAUUUCUUAAUUUGUGGUGAGGAAGCAAAAGCCAAGCCCAAUUUGGAAUAGAUUGACCUAUUGGUGUCUAAGGCAAGUGCUUUGAAAGGUGGUUACUUAAUUAGGAUCGCAUCAGCAGCGGAGAGUCUCCCACCGAUCAUUACUUAUCUGUCUAAUUUGAUUGACCAAAUUUUGAUUUGGGGUACUUAGUGUUGAGUUCACCAUGAUUGUGUUGCACCAUGACCAUGAGUCUGAUCUUGAUAAGUGAAGAUGCGAUUUCAUUAGUAGAUCCAAUGUAAUUGUGGAUUUACAUGCGAUAUAAAUAAACAAUUAAAACCUAAGAAGACCUAAAUUAAAUCUUCUGAAUUAGAUAUUAAGUCGAGCGGUCUUCCACCGGUGUAGAUAUGCGGGCUCUUCUGGAUGUUGACUGUUCUCGGUUGGUCAUAGUGGUUCAGUUGCAUUAAGGAAGACGCAACCACUCUAUAGCAUGAGAUACUCUAGGGUAAAGUUGGGGUUGGGCCUAAUAACUGUCAGAUGAGGGAUCCAAUGACAGCUUUACAUCUACUAGCGAGCGGUGGGUCUGACUUAACUAAGAAAUAAGGUCAAUAACUGUCAGGUGAAGUUUUAGGACUUAGAGGUCGGAGAUCGCUGUAACAUGCUUGGAGAAGCAUUGGACAAGAGUUGUUCACUCAUUGAUUGACACAUCUCCAAUAACUGUCAGGUGAGGUGAUAUGCCAAUCGGUGGGACUGCAGUACCCACUUGAAAUCCUAAUCGUGAAAGAUUUUUGUUUUUCUAUCUAAGGAGUGUAUGAGAUUCGAGAAAAUAGUAGAAGGUAUAUUUAUUUUAAAAGAUCCUAGAACAAAUAUUAAAAUCAAAUACAAAAAUCUAACUAGAAUCUCUACUCUUGAUAGAAUAAAAUAUCGAUUUUAAAUUCUUUAGCUCACAUAUUAGAAACCAAUUGACUAAUCAAACAAGUUAUAAAGACUGGCUCAGGAAUCUAAAAUAGUUUUAGGUUCUAAAGGGUUAAGCUUAUAUCAUGACCAGGACAUCCUUAUGUUACCAAACCAUCGGAUAAUUGAUCAAAAGGCAAUCAGUUUAUGAUCAUUGUUUGACAAUGAUUAAGGAUUUGGAUGAGCUUGAGAAGCUCGACCAUGCACAAGGAAUUGCGAAUGAAUUUGAUCCUGCAAUCUCUUAUCAGUUCAUAUGGGCAGUUUAUAGUAAACUAUCAUACGAAUUAAAUCGAUUGCACUUAGUUAAAAUAUUGAACAUCUUGGUGACUACCGAAGGGACCUUGAAGAGUUCAAGUGGUAGGGUUUUCACUAUGGAGCGAGCUUCUACUUUCAAGAGAAGUUCUACUUAGAAGAAGAAGUCCAUGAAGAAACAUAAGUCUAAGAGCGAGCUAAAGAAGGAAUUGUCCUGUAUACCUAGAAAGCCUAAAGAAAAGAUAGGAGAUAUACCUUCAGAAGGUAUGUUGGGUCUACUCGAUAUUGGUAUCUGAGCAAAUAGCGAGUACUGUAGGGUCUGAGAGAUCCGAAAAUGAGAUGAACCCAAAGUAUAUGUGGAACCUCAGAUUUGGUCAUAUUAGAGGGGACAGAAUAAACAAAUUGAAAUGUUAUGAGCUUUUAAGCUCAUCGACUCUUGAGUUGUUUCCGAUUUAUAAAUUCUGCCUUCAGAGAUAAAUGGUCAAACUACCCUUUGUGGGAUAUAGGGUGAGGAUCACUGAGAUACUUGAUCUGGUGCACAUUAAUGUGUGUAGCUCAUUUGAUGUGCAAGCUAGGAGUGGUUAUCUUUACUUUGUUACUUUUAUUGAUGACUUUUCACGGUAUAGGUACAUGUGUGAGAUACAAAUCUGAAGUCUUUAAAAAGUUCAAAAAAUUCAGAUAUGAGGUAAAGAAGCACACUAAAAAAUUUUUAAGGUUCUUCGAUGAGAUCGAGGAGAUGUAUACCUUAGUGCGAGUUUCUAAUCCAUCUUAAGGAAAACGGCAUAGUUUCAUAAUGGACUCUUCUUAGUGCACUUCAAUUCAAAGGGUAUCAGAAAGAAAGAAUGGGAUUCUUUUUGAUAUGGUCUAAUCCAUGAUGAACAUCAUUGAUCUUCCCUUAUACCUUUAGGAAUAAGCUUUACUGCUAAAUAGUUUCCUCUAAGUCUAUUCCUAUCAUGCCGUAUGAUAUAUGGCAUGAUGAGGAUGUCCAACCCAUGUCAAGCGACAAUAGGUAGACAAGUUAGAGGUUAGGUCUAUGACAGCUCAUUUCUAAGAUAUCCUAAAGAGUUUAGAGAUACUACUUUUACUUCCAAAAAGAUCACAAUGUGAUUGUAAUCUGACAUACUAUAUUCUUGAAGAAAUAGUUUAUCCAAGAUGGAGAUAGUGAAAGGAUAUUUGAGCUUAAAGAGAGUUUCUAAGAGCAACGAAUCAUAGAACCUAAAGAAUUUAUUCAUAAUUGAGCCAGUAUAUGUAGUACCUCCUCCAUCUUGUAGGUCGAAUAAUAUCUCUCAUCCUACUGAAAGAUAUUUAGGUAUUCUAACAGAGGAUGUAAAGAAAAUGUUCCUCAUGAGAGAUGGAACAUAGAGAUGAUCGCAAAACUACUAUGAGUCGAUGUUAUAUAUCAAUUCUGAGAAGUGGUUGAAUGCAAUGAAAUUAAAAAUUGACUUGAUACAUUCUAACAAAGUCUGAUUCUUAGUAGAUCGACCAGCAGGUAUAGUAUCUAUUGAAUUCAAAUGGACCUACAAAAGGAAAAGAUAUAAAGGUAGAGAUCUUUAAAGCAAGCAUCUUGGAAUAGGGAUACUCGAUGUGAUCAAAUGGUUUGAUCUCAUCAAGAACAGGAGGAAACAUGUAUUUAUAAAAAGGGUCAGUGGGAGUAAUGUCAUAUUCCUCGUAUUGUAUGUGGAUUUUAUUCUCUUGAUUGAGAAUGUUGUUCCCAUACUGACUAUGGUUAAAAUAUGAUUGUUUAAAAAAAUUCUUCAUAAGAGAUCUUUAGAAACAUCCUAAAUAAAUCUAUGAGAUAAAUAUAGGUCUAUAAGAUAGAUCUAUUAGGAUGCUAGUUUCACAGAAGAUGUACAUAGAAGAGGCGCUAAAGGGGUAUAGCAUGAAAAAUCCUAAAAGGGUUUCUAUCCCUUGGACAUAGGAUUAAUCUCUCCAAUAAGAUGUGCAGGACACAUCUAUGGAGAUAUAGUAUAUGAGCUAGAUCCUUUAUGCUUUACCUAGUGGGAGCCUCAUGUAUACUAUGUACAUGAUCUGAUAUAAUUUUGCUGUGAGUAUCACGAGCAAAUAUCGGUUAAAUCCGGACUGAGAGUAUUGGAUAGCUGUGAAAAUAUUUCUAAGUACUUAAGAAGAACUUAAGAUAUGGUCUUUGAGGGGAAUCAAAGUUGAGGGUAAAAGGAUAUAAUGAAUCAGAUUUUGUGUCUGAUAUUGUUGGUAGAGAGUUUAUAUCAGAAAAGAUGUUUCCUUAUGCAAUAUAGAUUCGGUAAAUUGGAAGAGUUUCAAAUAACCGAUCAUUAUAAAUUUCAGAAGCCAUGUAUGCCGCUGCUUAGGGGGUUGCUAGGGAAGCCUUUUGAUUAAAAAGGGUUUGUUGCAUAAUUGAUGUAAUGUCAUUAGAUGGGACAACAUUGUAUUACGAUAACAGAGGCAUCGUUACUUUAACUAAGGAGCCUAGGUCUCAACAGAAUUCCUAGUACAUAAAAGCAAUAAUUGAUUAUUUACAACUGUUUCUAGAAGUAAGACUUCGAGAAUCAAAGUAGAUCCCAUAGAAACGUGGCAGACCCAUGUACUAAACCAUCUUACUAGCAAAGGAUUAAAGUACAUCUUAAGAAGAUGGGGCUUAAGUCUAUGGCAGAUUGACUUUAGUACAAGUGGAAGAUUGUUAGAUGUGUCCUAAAAAUCAAUCGAACUGAUACAUUAAUUUUUUUUAGGACAUAAUUUCGUACUUCACCUAAUUAUUUAGGAUAGUUAAUUACUAUUCAUGUAGUGUAUGUGUCCAUGAAUCGUCCAAUGAAUUAAUAAGAUGAUGACACAUAUUCUCAAGAGUUGAGAAUUUUAGGCAUAUGUCAUUAGUGAUUAAUUCAUAAACUGCUCUCAAUCGUAGGAUUAUCAUGGAGACGAUGAUCGAUUCAGAUAGGUUGGUGUACGGAUUGCUUCCUUAUGGAUAGAUGAAUCUCGAAUCUACAAUGUGGGAACAUUGAGUGAGAGUGCAGGCGUUUGUGAGGAAACAAGGGUGCUGAGCGUGACUAACAAGAGAAGUCACUUGGAUGUCUACUCUCGUCAGUGAUAUUCUCGAUGCUGUAGUAGUAUGAAUGGUUCUUUGAUCUGUGGUGCCUCGGCUGUUCACAAUAAGAUUGCUAUAGUUUAACUACACCAUAACUCGAUCUUCUAGACAUAUGGAGCUUUGAGGUGUAUGUUAGCUGCCAUAGAUUCAUUGUAGGAAUAAGGUGUGCAUCUGAAUGGGAUCUAUCGAUCUUAAUAGAAAAAAAAAGUCCUAUGCGAUUCACGAGACUGAGUUUAGAAAGUCUUUGGCCAAAGUAAAUAUGAAUACUGAAAAUAAGUUUUCAUGAAAAUUUAUAAAUAAACUUGAGUCGAGCUAAUCUUGCAUAUGACAGAUGAUGGGAUUUGACGAAUUUUUCAUAACCUUUUUGUUGGAACUCACGAUAGAAGAACUGAAUCACUCGAUAACUACACCUAGAGCUUUAUUACUUCUAUUCUGCUAAGUUACCACUACAUACUGCUAGGUGUCACUGGUGGAUCUGAGAUUCAUCGAGCGUCGUCUUGAUGAUCGAUGACUCUUGAUGGGCAGAGUUGAAAUUGUUCCAAUCCAUUGAAAGGAGUUUCAAUGGUAUUUUGAUGAAGAUCAAAAUAUAUCUUACUAUCAGACAGAAUAGAACCUAUGGGAUUACACACAAAAGAGGUCCUAACUGAUCGGGAUAUCGAAUAGCGAUUUUGAAUCGAAAAAAGACUCAAUUAUCAAUUUGAUUGAUGAUUGAACUUAUAUGUAAAAGUUACAUGGACUUACUAAGUGUUAGUAAGUUAUAGGAGGAUUAAUUCAUAAAUAUUACUAGUUAUUUGAUUUGAUUAAAUGUGGGCUGAAUUAAAUCAGAUCUAAUCUGAUUAGAUUUGGUUUAAUUUGGAUUUAGUCCAAAUAGGAUUUGGACUUAAUUCUUAAUUAGAUUUGACUCAAAUUGGAUUUGAAUUGAAUUCAAAUCGAGUUGAAAUUUUGUUAGGAAAUUAGAGUCCCACCAGAUUGGGACUCUCUCUCCUUAUCCAUGUCCAAGAGGGACGUCCAACUAGGUUUAGCGUGGAGUAAGUGGGGCGCAAAAAAGAUGGGGCGGUGGAAAGAGAAGAGUCAUCUUUUAAGGACUCUAACCAACCUCAUACAAAUCCUAACUAAUCCCUAUUUAAAAGAGAUAACAUGGGGCACCUCUCAAGGUGAUUACACGGUGAAUUUGAGAAGGGUGUGGCAUGAGAAAAAUAGAGAGAAGAGUGGGCGGCACAAGGGGACUGGCGUGAGGGUUGUUGGGCACCUCUUUCCUUCUUACAACCAAAGGUUGGUUGUUAAGGUCUCUUCCUUUCUCUCUCUUUUUGUCCAAGAGUUGGACAUGUCUUCUCCUCCAUAGAUGUCCAAGAGUUGGACAUGAUUUCACCUCCAUAAUCAAUCUAAGAGUUGGACGGAAAAAGAAAAAAAAGAGAUGGGAUCUCUUGUUCUUCUUUCUCUUGAGAAGAGAAAGGAAAAGGAAAUCAGAUUAGAUCUGAUUUUUUGAUCCUCCUAUGGAUUUUUUUGAUUUUCUUGAGAAGAGGAUUAAAAGAGAUCAAAGAUUGGUAUCUCCUUAUUAGAUCAGCUUUGUGUGGAUACCUAUAGAGGUCGGAAACUUAUGCGCUUCAAAAAAACCUUGAAGACAUCCAUAGAUCAUCAAAUCACGGCUUCAACG
rnacentral:lncRNA from 1 species